UACGUAGGGGGCAAGCGUUGUCCGGAAUCAUUGGGCGUAAAGCGCGUGUAGGCGGUCCGGUAAGUCCGCUGUGAAAGUCGGGGGCUCAACCCUCGAAUGCCGGUGGAUACUGUCGGGCUAGAGUGCGGAAGAGGCGAGUGGAAUUCCUGGUGUAGCGGUGAAAUGCGCAGAUAUCAGGAGGAACACCGAUUGCGAAGGCAGGUCUCUGGGCAUUAACUGACGCUGAGGAGCGAAAGCAUGGGGAGCGAACAGG
rnacentral:rRNA from 1 species